AUUGAACGCUGGCGGCAGGCCUAACACAUGCAAGUCGAGCGGAAACGAGUUAUCUGAACCUUCGGGGAACGAUAACGGCGUCGAGCGGCGGACGGGUGAGUAAUGCCUAGGAAAUUGCCCUGAUGUGGGGGAUAACCAUUGGAAACGAUGGCUAAUACCGCAUGAUGCCUACGGGCCAAAGAGGGGGACCUUCGGGCCUCUCGCGUCAGGAUAUGCCUAGGUGGGAUUAGCUAGUUGGUGAGGUAAGGGCUCACCAAGGCGACGAUCCCUAGCUGGUCUGAGAGGAUGAUCAGCCACACUGGAACUGAGACACGGUCCAGACUCCUACGGGAGGCAGCAGUGGGGAAUAUUGCACAAUGGGCGCAAGCCUGAUGCAGCCAUGCCGCGUGUGUGAAGAAGGCCUUCGGGUUGUAAAGCACUUUCAGUCGUGAGGAAGGUAGUGUAGUUAAUAGCUGCAUUAUUUGACGUUAGCGACAGAAGAAGCACCGGCUAACUCCGUGCCAGCAGCCGCGGUAAUACGGAGGGUGCGAGCGUUAAUCGGAAUUACUGGGCGUAAAGCGCAUGCAGGUGGUUUGUUAAGUCAGAUGUGAAAGCCCGGGGCUCAACCUCGGAAUAGCAUUUGAAACUGGCAGACUAGAGUACUGUAGAGGGGGGUAGAAUUUCAGGUGUAGCGGUGAAAUGCGUAGAGAUCUGAAGGAAUACCGGUGGCGAAGGCGGCCCCCUGGACAGAUACUGACACUCAGAUGCGAAAGCGUGGGGAGCAAACAGGAUUAGAUACCCUGGUAGUCCACGCCGUAAACGAUGUCUACUUGGAGGUUGUGGCCUUGAGCCGUGGCUUUCGGAGCUAACGCGUUAAGUAGACCGCCUGGGGAGUACGGUCGCAAGAUUAAAACUCAAAUGAAUUGACGGGGGCCCGCACAAGCGGUGGAGCAUGUGGUUUAAUUCGAUGCAACGCGAAGAACCUUACCUACUCUUGACAUCCAGAGAACUUUCCAGAGAUGGAUUGGUGCCUUCGGGAACUCUGAGACAGGUGCUGCAUGGCUGUCGUCAGCUCGUGUUGUGAAAUGUUGGGUUAAGUCCCGCAACGAGCGCAACCCUUAUCCUUGUUUGCCAGCGAGUAAUGUCGGGAACUCCAGGGAGACUGCCGGUGAUAAACCGGAGGAAGGUGGGGACGACGUCAAGUCAUCAUGGCCCUUACGAGUAGGGCUACACACGUGCUACAAUGGCGCAUACAGAGGGCGGCCAACUUGCGAAAGUGAGCGAAUCCCAAAAAGUGCGUCGUAGUCCGGAUUGGAGUCUGCAACUCGACUCCAUGAAGUCGGAAUCGCUAGUAAUCGUGGAUCAGAAUGCCACGGUGAAUACGUUCCCGGGCCUUGUACACACCGCCCGUCACACCAUGGGAGUGGGCUGCAAAAGAAGUAGGUAGUUUAACCUUCGGGGGGACGCUUACCACUUUGUGGUUCAUGACUGG
rnacentral:rRNA from 2 species